rnacentral:rRNA from 1 species
UACGAAGGGGGCUAGCGUUGCUCGGAAUCACUGGGCGUAAAGGGUGCGUAGGCGGGUCUUUAAGGCCGUUGUGAAAGUCAAAGGCUCAACCUUUGAAAGCCGAUGGAUACUGCAGGGCUAGAGUCCGGAAGAGGCGAGUGGAAUUCCUGGUGUAGCGGUGGAAUGCGCAGAUAUCAGGAGGAACACCAAUAGCGAAGGCAGCUCGCUGGGACGGUACUGACGCUAAGGCGCGAAAGCGUGGGGAGCGAACAGG